GAACCAUGCAUCUGACCUUUACGCAACAAAUCUUUUAAACGUUCUCAAGCUUCGUAAAGGUUUUCAUCAUCCAGUUGCUUGAAUGAUGUGAUAUCAUUUCUUAGCUU